rnacentral:rRNA from 1 species
AUUGAACGCUGGCGGCAUACUUUACACAUGCAAGUCGAACGGCAGCGCGGGCUUCGGCCUGGCGGCGAGUGGCGAACGGGUGAGUAAUGCAUCGGAACGUGCCCAGUAGUGGGGGAUAGCCCGGCGAAAGCCGGAUUAAUACCGCAUACGACCUGAGGGUGAAAGCGGGGGACCGAAAGGCCUCGCGCUAUUGGAGCGGCCGAUGUCGGAUUAGCUAGUUGGUGGGGUAAAGGCUUACCAAGGCGACGAUCCGUAGCUGGUCUGAGAGGACGACCAGCCACACUGGGACUGAGACACGGCCCAGACUCCUACGGGAGGCAGCAGUGGGGAAUUUUGGACAAUGGGGGCAACCCUGAUCCAGCCAUGCCGCGUGCGGGAAGAAGGCCUUCGGGUUGUAAACCGCUUUUGUUCGGGAAGAAAUCCUCUGGGCUAAUACCCCGGGGGGAUGACGGUACCGGAAGAAUAAGCACCGGCUAACUACGUG